rnacentral:lncRNA from 1 species
GGGUGGCCUGUAAGAGGACACUUAGGGUUUGUCCCUAAGUGACACCAGACAAGAGGAGGAGUCUAGGACCUGUCUUUCAGAGGGAUCCAAAAGCUGUGGUCCAGGAAACCCAAAAUUGUUCCUUUGUAACUUCCACUGGGGACUGCAGAAGGGUCAGCAGCAAAAUCUGAAAGUGAGCAGAGCCACGGGGGCAGUGGGAAUCGGAGACUUGGGGCCACUUUCAUGGGCUUCCGAGGCGAUCGAGCAACGUCAGUCUUCAGCUGCUAAGCCGAGAAGAUCUGGGAAGGAGUCAGUCAGAGAGCCUUGGGCCAGAGUUCCAGGGGCUCUGGGAGUGGCUGCCAGGUGAGUUGAACAGUCCGAUUUCCAGUGGGGUCCCCCACAGAUGGGACACGGCUUAGGAGGAAUCCCGGGCUGCGGGCAUUCCUUGGCCUGGUGGCCAGAUUUCUGGCACUUGUAGCAAGCGCCUGGGGGAGGCAGUUCUGGAGGAAUGCCUGGCCACUGCGGUUUAGGCGUUUGGAAGUUCUUGUGUGCUGGAGAUGUGGCUGGGGUUUGUCUCACAGUGGAGGCAAGGAAUUGCAACUCAGAAAUAUGUUGCUAGUUGGCUGCCUAUACUCUAUUAUUGUACACCUUGAAGGUGAGGUUAAUUAAGUCCUGUUGUGGGGUUUGAGGGCCGGAAUUUAAUUUUUGGAGUUUUAUUUAAUGUUGGGAGCAGAUUGGGUAAUAAAAUGUAUAUUGAGAAUAAGACGGCCUUUUGACCUUUUAGGGUCUAGGGCUGUAAAACGUCUCAGGGUUGCUGCCAAACGAGUCAGGAACUGGGCUGGAUUUUUAUAUUUGAUGAGAAAGAGCCUAAACGCUAUCUGAUCUGGAAUAAAGAAAAAGGAGCAUUGACCUUGACUAUGACUUUAGCUCCAGCCACCUUUUUAAGAGUAAAUUGCUGGGCAGGUGGGGGAGGGCUAGUCAUGGAACGAAACUGUAAGCUGGACCAGGUGUGAGGAGGGGAGGUGAUAAAAGGAUUAUAGGGUGGAGGAGCAGAGGCUGAGGAAGAAUUGGGACCUAGCUCGGCCUGGUGAGGAGGGGAGAGGUCAGAUAGGUCUGUAGAAAAUGAAGAUUAGAAAGACUCAGUGAUGCUUGGGGUUGGGACUGAGGGGACAGGUGGGAGGGAAAGAAGGAAGAUUUGGGACGAGUUGCAUUGGGAACAGAGGCUAGGGAGUGACUGAUGUGUAAAAGAAUGCCUGGAUGUCAGGCACCUCAGACCAUUUGCCCAUUUUACGACAAGAAUUAUUUAAAUCUUGUAGGAUGGAAAAAAUGGAAAUGCCGUUUUCUGGCUAUUUGGAACUACUGUCGAGUUUGUAUUGGGGUCAAGCGGCAUUGCAGAAGAAAAUAAGGCAUUUAGGUUUUAGGUCAGGUGUGAGUUGAAGAGGUUUUAAGUUCUUGAGAACACAGGCUAAGGGAGAAGAAGGAGGAAUGGAGGGUGGAAAUUUGCCCAUAGUGAAGGAAGCAAGCCCAGAGAAAAGAGAGAGUAGAGACACGGAGGGAAGGGGUUCGGGGGUUCUUACCCUCCAGAAAAAUGGGAAAGGGGUUGGGGUGUGGAAAUAAGGGGUCAGGGCACAGAGAUAAGAGGUGGGGCAUGGAAAUAAGGGAUCAGGGCAAAGAGAUAAGAGGUCGGGGCAUGGAAAUAAGGGAUCAGGGUGCAGAGUUAAGAGGUUGGGGCAUGGAAAUAAGGGAUUGGGGCACAGAGAUAAGAGGUCAGGGUGUGGAAAUAAGGGAUUGGGGGUUCCUGACCCCUAGAAAAGUGGGACUUGCCGCUAAGGUUAAAGGAGAAGAGGUUGAGGGGUUCUUGCCCCUCCCCCAGAAAAGCAGAGAAGGGGUAGAGACAAGGAGAGAAGGGGUUGGGGUACUUGCCCUUCCCCCAGAAAAGCAGGACUUGCCACUAAGGGUGAAGGACCAAGGCAGGCGUCCCUGCAUGGUCUGACACCUCUGAAACGUGGGUGAAUAAUCAGAGAGGCAUCCCUGCAAUGAUUAAACACCAAGGGAAGGCUGCCUUCCCAGUCCGUGACCGGCGCCGGAGUUUUGGGUCCAUGGAUAAAACGUGUCUCCUUUGUCUCUACCAGAAAAUGAAAGGAAUUGAAAUUAAGAGAAGGCAGAGAUUGAAGUGUGGCGCCAAGAUUGAAAGGAGAAAGAGGUUGAGGGAUAGUGAGGGAGGUUGGAGAAGAGAGUAAAAAGAGGCCGCUUACUGGAUUUGAAAUUGGUGAGAUGUUUCUUGGGCUGGUCGGUCUGAGGACCUGAGGUCGUAGGUGGGUCUUUCUCAACAGAGCAAAGAGCAGGAGGACAGGGGAUUGAUCUCCCACAAGAGGUCCCCCGAUCCGAGUCACGGUACCAAAUUUCAUGCGUGUCCGUGUGAAGAGACCACCAAACAGGCUUUGUGUGAGCAAUAAAGAUAUUAAUCACCUGGGUGCAGGCG